rnacentral:sRNA from 1 species
CGAGACAACGUUGCCGCAGGCAACGGCCCGAAGGGUGAGGAGCGAAGCGACGAAUAAUCCUUCCCCCACCACCA